rnacentral:lncRNA from 1 species
CCACUUUCUGCUCCCUGCCGCCACCCAGGCUUUCGGUCGGUGUUGCAGGAGACGCCUUCAUCUCCUUUUUCCCCUCAGUCCAGUAGGAGCUUCUUCUCUUUUCAAUAUAGGCUUUCAGCCGGUGUUUCAGCAGCUUCCAUCAGCAACAUCCGGUCGGCAGAGAACUUGAGUCCCUUCUCUUCGGAUAGCAGCAGUAACCUCCUCUUCCCAGCAGCGGCAGUACUAUUUUCAGCAACUUGAUUUUCAGUCACAUCAUCAACGACCAAUGACAGCAUCUCCUCUCAACAAGCUGCCACUACGAGCAGCAGAAAUCCUCUUCUCAGCAAGCUACCAUCAUGAAUAGCAGAAGUAGUGUCCAACAUCUUAUCUUCAACCGAGAGCAGUAUCCAAUAGAGGUUCCCAUUGCCAGCAGAAGGUAAACACAGGGAGAAGAACGAACAAAAAAUAGGGAACAAACACAGGGGAAAUAACAGGGGGGAGUUCACAGAGAGGAGUACCAAAAAAAAGCAGAGAAACAAGGCAGGAAAAAAAAAUUAAAAAAGGGAGAAAACGAGAGAGAACGAGAGAACGCAGGACUUGCACUAAUAUAAUUAUAUAAGUAAUUGCUUUUGACAUAUACUGGAGAAUAAUUUAUCUGCAGUUCUGCAUAACUUGAACAGAGAAAAGAGAAAAGAGAUCGCACCUUAGCUCUACAGACGCCGCUUCGAUUGAAAACUGAAAAGUGAGGUUGCAGCCUUGCAGGAGCAGCAGAUCAAGACAGCAACAAAGAAGAGGAAAGAUUGGAGGGGAGUUCGUGAAACUGAAGAUGCCGAUUGUAAUUGUUUUGGUUGGGAACUUGAGUCUGCGAGGAGGAAGAGAAAUUAGGGAUUUGAUAUUUUUGGUUUAGUUUACUGUAGAGUUUAGACAUCAGCAAAAAAUAGCGUGGGUGUACUGUGCAGUUAAUGAAAAUGAACCAGGUUUAAUUUCGAGUUAAUCUUUGACUCGAUGGCUUUAACCCGAAACGGAAC